UUUGUACUCCCUACAUCUGAAAAUAUUUGUCAGAGAAAUGGAUGUAUGUAUACGUAUUUUACUUCUACUAGAUACAUCCAUUUUUAUUCAUUUUUGCCACAAGUAAUUUUCGGAUGGAGGGAGUAUAAA
rnacentral:pre_miRNA from 1 species